CACAGCACCGGAGAAACCGGAGAAACCGGAGAAACCGGGAACGGCACAUGGGGCACCUCCGUGCUAUUUUUGCAACUUACUCUCAACAGAAGCCAUGAACAGCAUAUUGGAUAUAACAGAUAGCUAAACUAAUGACUCUAGAAAUUCUCUGAGCACCCAGAAGAAAAGAUAAAGAGGCGAAAAUAAUAAAUAACAAGACAAGAAAAAGGCAAGAACGCAAAAUAUCUGUUGGGUAUUCCUGGAGAUUCCAGAAGGCAAGCGUGAGCAGAGAAGUAAUGAUGGAAGAAAUAAGAGAUGAAAAGUGAUCAAAUAUAGAAAUUAUAUAAGCCAUGUUGUGAUAAUAAUGCAAUAAAACUAAAAUUCAAUAGUACAAGGAAAAACAGGGAAAAAUAAAACCUAUUUCAAACUAAAA